UUUUAGGAAAAGUAAAAGCUUAAAACUGGUCGCCGAGGCUCUAUUCUAUAUAAUGGUGUUCGUGGGUUAAAUUCUAUUGUCACUACCUUCAGCUAUUCUGUUGAAGGUCGAAUCGAAAGGGGCGAUGAUUAUAAUGAGAGAGGCCUUUAGUAGGAAAUACCAAUUCCAAUUCCAUCUCAAAAUCAAGAAAAAAAAAUACUAGUAGGUCAGAAUUUGAAGGUGCCGCCAUCUCUUUUCAUCGAAGGGGUUUGGCUUUGGUAUCUCAGAUUCUGCCGCCUUCUUCUUUCUCCUCUUCAUCUUUCCGUCCCUUCAAAUUGAAUUGGGUUUUUUUCCUACUGUGAAAGAUCUUUCAUAAUUUACACUUGAUAUGAGCCUUGAAAUUUUUCAUAUUCUUUACGAAUUCUUGAUUUUUAUGAAAUUUGUUUUUUCUUUACGAUUGGGUUUUUUCUUUACGAAUGUUGAUUUUAAUGAAAAUUGUUUUUCUAUCGGUCUAAGAUCGAAAUUAUGCAUUGACGGAUAAAUAUGUGUACCGGGUAAUGGUAUUGGUGGGCUAUCGGUAGUUGGCCGUUAAAUGUGUGUACCUGAUAACGGUAUUGGUGGGCUAUCGGUCUUGAUUCAAAACUAUGCAUUGGCCGUUAAAUGUGUGUACCUAGUAUUGGUAUUGGUGGACUAUCGGUCUUGAUUCGAAACUAUGCGUUGGCGGAUAAAUGUGUGUACCUGGUAUUGGUAUUGGUGGGCUAUCGGUCUUGAUUCGAAACUAUGCGUUGGCGGAUAAAUGUGUGUACCUGGUAUUGGUAUUGGUGGGCUAUCGGUCUUGAUUCAAAACUAUGCGUAGGCGGAUAAAUGUGUGUACCUAGUAUUGGUAUUGGUGGGCUAUCGGUCUUGAUUCGAAACUAUGCGUUGGCGGAUAAAUGUGUGUACCUAGUAUUGGUUUUGGUGGGCUAUUGGUAAUUGGCUUUGAAUUUCCACGAUAUUUUCAAAGAGAGUAGUUGGUAUACUGGAAAUCACAUCUCACCAUUUUUAUGGUGUGCUAUUUUGUCUGGAAAUCAAAUAUCAAUAUCAAAAUAAAAUAAAAACAAAAUUAAUUGUCAGAAUUUUGUCUGGCUUUGGUAUCUCAUAUUUUGCCGUCUUCUUCGUUUUCCUCUUCAUCUUUUCGUCCCUUCAAAUUGAAUUGGAUUUAUUUCCUACUGCGAUAAUCUUUUCAAGUUUACACUUGAUAUGAGCCCCGAAACUUUUCAUUUUAUUACGAAUUCUUGAUUUUUAUGAAAUUUAUUUCUUCUUUUAGAUCUUUUGACGUUUUUUCGCACUUAUUUGAUUCUUGGAUGGAGAAACAGUUGCAUGUUGUUUUCUCGUUGAAGAGUCCGUGCGUAUAUAAAAAGCUUGAUUAUAGCAACUGCUUGUUUCUGAUAAACUUGUUUUCAGAAAUUUGGUAGUUUUGUUGUAAUUGAGCAGCGGCCAGACAACCGCAGAGAUGGAAUCCACAGAUGCUGAGUUUAUUUGUCUCAUCAUUCUACUAAUUCCAUCUCACAUUUUCUUAUGCUCAGCUUAAAUCCAGUAAUAAAGAAAUUUAAAUACGUACAUAUAUUAGAUUGAUAUAUGAAAAAACCUCAAUUUCACUCAAAAUUGAAUACUCAGAAAAAUGAAGUACCACAACUAUAGUACAUGGUAUCCGAUAAAUGUGGGUAACUGAUAUUGGAAUAGGGGGGCUAUCGGUCUUGAUUCGAAACUAUGCGUUGGCGGGAUAAAUGUGUGUAAAACCAUGCGUUGGCGGAUAAAUGUGUGUAAAACUAUUCGUUGGCGGAUAAAUGUGUAUACUUGGUACAUGUAUUGGUGGGCUAUCGGUCUUGAUUCGAAACUAUGCGUUGGCGGGAAAGUGUGUGUAAAACUAUGCCUUGGUGGAUAAAUGUGUGUAAAGCUAUGCGUUGGCAGAUAAAUGUGUGUACCUGGUACUGGUAUUGGUGGGCUAUCGGUCUUGAUUCAAAACUAUGCUUUGGCGGAUAAAUGUGUGUCCCUGGUAUUGAUGGGCUAUCGGUCUUGAUUCGAAACUAUGUGUUGGCGGAUAAAUGUUUGUACCUCGUAUUGGUGUGCUAUCCGUCUUGAUUCGAAACUAUGUGUUGGCGGAUAAAUGUGUGUACCUAGUAUUGGUAUUGGUGGGCUAUCGGUCUUGAUUCAAAACUAUGUUUUGGCAGAUAAAUGAGGGUACUUGGUAUUGGUAUUGGUCGUCUAUCGAUCUUGAUUCAAAACUAUGCGUUGGAGGGUAAAUGUGUGUACUUGGUAUUGGUAUUGGGGGGUUAUCGGUCUUGAUUCGAAACUAUGCGUUGGCGGGUGUGGUAUAAUGGAAAUCAUAUCUCACCAUUUUUAUGGUGUCCUAUUUUUUUAGGCAUAUGGUAUAUUGUUGGCAGUUGGCUCGGAAUUUCCAUAUAUUUCAAAGAGAGUAGUUGGUAUACUUGAAAUCAUAUCUCACCUUUUUUCAUGGUGUCCUAUUUUUUCAUGCAUAUGGUAUAUUGUUGGUAGUUGGCUCGGAAUUUCCACGAUAUUUCAAAGAGAGUAGUUGGUUUACUGGAAAUCAUAUCUCACCUUUUUUAUGGGGUCCUAUUUUUUUUCAUGCAUAUGGUAUUUGGUUAGUAAUUGGCUCGGAAUUUCCACGAUAUUUCAAAGUGAGUAGUGGUAUAUUUGAAACCAUAUCUCACCUUUUUUAUGGUAUCCUAUUUUUUAAUGCGUAUGGUAUAUUGUUAGUAAUUGGCUCGGAGUUUUCACGACGAAAAGUAUUCAAACAACAAGUAUGUCAUAGGGGAGCAAAUGCUCUUGAAUUGGAUAAAUUACACAUCUAAUUGGUUAGUAGGAUGCGUGGCUCAAUGUUACAUGUGCCCGAAAAUUAUGCUUUGGGUGUAAUGACUGAAGUGGACCCCAAGGAGGUGUAGGUUUGGUGUUCCUAGCCGUAUAUUUGGAGCUAUCUGUGCAGGGUGGAUCAACUGCUGACUGACUGUUUUAUAAUAAUGUUUUCACAUUUCAUUUUUUUCCAGAAUUGGAUCAACUGCUAACUGACUGUUUCACAGUAAUGUUUUCACAUUUCAUUUUGUUCCAGAAUUUGGAUUGUCAUAGUGUUAAUUGAGCUUUAUGCUGGAACCAGUUUGUUUGGCAUGGAUAUUGGUAGAGUCAUCAGAUAAGCCUAGACAUUAGAUCUUUUGCAGUUGAUGGGAUCUAUGGGUACUUUAAUUUGGUCGGAUAGUGGAUGAACUCUGCUUUGUGGAUCAGGCUGUUUUGAUUGUGGUUAUAAUUGGAUCAGAAAAUCGGUAGUUGACUCUCGGUGUAUUAGAGCAUCCAUACAACAUUGUGCAGUGAUUUUAGUCCCGUGUGGUAAUGGUGAUUUAACCUGACUGGAGCAAUUUUGCUUUGAAGAAAAACUGUCCUGCGCAGGCUCGCAUUGUGGUUUUUGUUCAGCUGUGUACUUGUCAAUAGCUUGGGAUGAUUUUGGUGUUACAGUGGGAAAGCUUGGCACAUUUGAAGCGAUUUACCGCUAGAAUCGAUAACGACAGAGUAUUUUCUAGGAUAGUCAGCAUAAUUUAGUCCACUUCCAAGGAAUCCUAAAGAAUUAAAGUGAUCUCUUGUACAGAAAGAUGUAACACGGCAGUUUUGGAACUGCUAUUAUUGUCGAGCUGGAUAAAACUAAAGAUAAAGCAUUGUUCAUUUCCAUUUUUCCAAUCAGAGGCUGGAUGGUCAAGAACAUUAUAGAAAUUGUAUGAGCUGUGUUGAUCUUGGAAUAUCAAUCCUGGCACAUUAUGCCGAUCACUAUUGAAAAUCUGAGAAUAAAAUAUUUUCCUAGCUCGUUGACGAAGAAUGCCUUCACGUGGUUUACCACUCUUCCCCCAAAUUCCAUCUUCAACUGGAAUCAAUUGGAGAAAGUAUUCCACAAACAGUUCUAUAUGGGACAGUCGAACGUUACUCUCAGAAUUGGCCAGUGUGAGGCGGAAGGUGGCUGAAAUAAUUGAUGAUUACCUAAAUAGGUUUAGAACUUUGAAAUCAUGGUGUUUCACCAAGUGCCAGAGCACAAGUUAGUCAAAUCGGAUAUCCAAUACCUAGUGUACAUUGCCCAAUAGGCCGACAAAGUUCCACAAAUUGAACAAUUAAAGGCUUAGAAGGUCAAGACGGCAAAGUUUAGUAAAAAGAAAGUAGCUUAUGGCGAGAUAGUCGAAGCAGAAAAUGCUUUUCACUCAGAUUAUGAGUAUGUCGAAGAUGGCUGAUGUCAAAACCAUACCGAAACUUAUGGAAGAGGAGGCUCGGAGGCAAGAUAAACUCGUGUCCAAUUUGACGAACAUUAUUCAAGUGAAAAACAAGCACUUAUCUGAGAUUGAAGCAAGAUACACCGAGACUACGGAAAAUGUGAAUUCUGCUAUGACAGAAAACGAUUUACUCAUUCAGUCUUAUAAUAAAGAAAAUACAGGCAAGUGCUAAGGAUCACUUCCAAAGGAUUUUUAAUGAUCACGAAAAGCUUAAAUCGCAACUGGAAUCUCAGAAAAGUGAGCUUGAAUUGCUUUGGAAAAACGUGAAGCACAUUAUGAAAGUGAAAGAAAAAAGUUGACACUGAGCCAAUCCUUGAAGCUAUGAAGCAAAGAUAUAAUGAGGAGGAAGCCGAAGACAAAGCUACAGAACUAUGUUCAUUGUGGGAAGAGUAUCUAAAAGACCCAGAUUGGCAUCCGUUCAAAGUUGUCAUGAUUGACGGGAAAGAAAGAGUAUGUUUCUUUCUUCUUCUUCUCUUCGAAUGAAGAAGUGAGGGUCAUACAACAACCCACCAGAUCAAAAAGCAGCAAGAUGUUACUUUCUAUGAGUAAGAGCAUUUUGGUAAGAUUUUAGUGUGUGUUGAAUAAACCGUAUUUAGCUAUAUCGAUCAAAUUAAGUAGUGUGUUGAUUUAUAAGUCAUCUUUUAGCCUUCACGCCAAGUCAUUGUUAUACUAUUAAGAAAAAAAUUUGGUAGUGACUAGUGAAUCUCCGAAUUUGUCAAAAUUGUUUGAUUAGUGAAUCUCUUGAUCUUUCCGCGCAUGAAGCUUACGCGUCACCCCGUGUCAAGGUCACUGCUAAACCCAUUCUAUUUGUCAGGCACUCUAAUCUGUUUUAGUUUGGUUUGGAUCAGUGGUCACCUUUCAUUUUUUGACGCUGUUAUAUUCAAUUUAUGUCUAAGAUGUGUUCAUAAGAUGUGUUCACAAUCCCUAGGGAAUCAGACUAACAAGUAUGGAGCUAUUGUUAGUAGUCUCAUUUUCCUGUUAUCUCGGGUUAUCCUUAUAACAUUCAAGAUACUCAAGGAUUAAAACUGUUUAAAUUGGCCAGUUGUGUUGAAUGAGAGCAAGUAGACUGUUAAUUAAUCUCUAUAUUACAAUCCAUGAGUCUUUUCUCUUGUAUACAACUUGCUAUAAUAUUUGGAAAAAAUAACAAAAUGUAUAUUCUAGUGACAUUUUGGGAUUGUGACAGUUGGAAGAGUUCAGGUCGAGGUUCAGAUGAUGUAUCGUUUGGAUUUAUUAAAGAGUUCUGGGAGGUGAUUAAAAGUAACUUCAUUAGAUUAAUCGAAGAGUUUCAUAUGAAUGGGAGGAUAGUUCAUGGUGCAAAUAGCUCAUUCAUAGCCUUAAUUCCAAAUUUUGUUAAUCCGGUAACGUAUAAUGAGUUCCAACCUAUAUCUCUAAUUGGUUGUAUGUACAAAGUGCUAGCAAAAUUGCUUGCAAACAAACUAAAAAAGGUGUUACAUAAGGUGAUUUCGGAAGCACAAUUUGCUUUUAUUGAGAGAAGGCAGAUGCUAGAUUGCAUUCUCAUAGCAAAUGAGUUGGUAGACAAUGUUAAGCGUAGGAAAAAAUAAGCUCUAAUUUUUAAAGUCGAUUUUGAGAAAGCAUUAGACUUGAUGGACUGGAAAUAUCUAGAUUAUAUGAUGAUGAGAAUUUGAUUUAAUGAUAAAUGGAGGGGAUGGAUUGCAGAGUGUCUACAAUCAACGACGAUUGCGGUGUUGGUAAAUGGGAGACGGGAGACCAACUAAAGAAUUUGUAAUCGGGAUAGGUCUUAGGCAAGGGGACCUGUUGUCUCUGUUUUUGUUUCUGAUAGCGGCAGAGGGUCUGAAUCUAAUGAUGUCCAGAAGUGUAAAAAAGAACCUUUUUUGACGGAUAUCAGUUUGGAAAUGGCGAGGUAAAGAUUUCACAUAUAUGCAGAUGACAACAAUAGCUUUAAAUUGUAAAGUGGGGGAGUAAACUUUUAGUAUUUAGGGCUGCCGGUGGGAAGAAAUCAUUGGAGGGAACGAGAGUGGAAACCUGUGGUGGAAACAAUUAGAAAUAGGUUGUUUUCAUGGAACAAAAAACAUAUUUCAGUGGGUGGCCGUAUCUACUGAAAGUUGUCCUGUAUGCCUUACCGGUCUACUAUGUUUCUUUCUUCAAAGCUCCGACAUGUAUUAUCGCUAUGCUAGAAUCUACUUUUAAAAAUUUUCUGUGGGGUGGAGGGAUAGAAAGUAGAAAAAGUGAAUUGGGUUAAGUGGGAGAAGGUGUGUCGUGCGAAGGGAGAAGGGGGUUUGGGGAUAAAAGACCUAAAGAGCUUUAAUUUGGCCUUGAUUGGGAAGUAGAGAUGGACGCUUUUAAUCGGAAAAAGAGAAGCUGUGGGCCAAAGUUCUUAUUCUUAAGUACGGUCGAAAUGGGUAUGGAGGAUAAAGGGUAGACAAAUUUAGCUCCUUGUGGUGGAGGGAUGCAUUGGUUUGAGGAUAAUUUGUUUAGAGAAAUUGGUGAAUGAUAAGAAACUCUAUUUUAGAAGGAUAUCUGGGUAGGGGAGAGAAGAUUGAAGGAUUUAUACCCGGGUCUCUACAGAUUAUCCGUAGAGAAGGAUGCGUUGUAAGAGAAUCUAUUGAGAUAAGAGAUGGGAGUCAUGUGUGGAUUAAUAGAUGGCAUGGAAUGCUAGUUGAGGAUAACAAGAAGUUAGAGAAAGAAAUUAUAGAAAAGGUUCAAAGAGUCAGAAUGAGAGUUGACACGAAGGAUAGAUGGAGAUGGUUCAAAAAUGAGUAUUCUGUCAAAGAAGCUUAUGCAGUGAUCAUUGAUGGUCGGGCAGUAGAAUCUAAUGAAGAUAAGGUUUUUUCUGAUGCUUGGUAUAAUUUGGUGCCGCUAAAAGUCUUCGCUUUUGUUUGGAGACUGUGGCACAACAAAGUCCCGACAAGAGAUAAUUUGAUCAAAAGAGGCAUCUUGGUUGAAUCUCAAAAUUCUCGCGUGUUUGGCUACGGAAGAGAGAGAGUGUGUGUGUUGAGCAUUUGUUCUUCUAAUGUCUGAUAGAUUUUGAGGCUUGGAGCGAGAUCUAAGAUGGCUGAAUUGUCACAGCGUGCUGCAUAAUUCCGCAGCUUCAAACUUUUUUUUAGUUCAGAUGGCUGUUUGCGGGGGGGCAGUGUCAUCAUGGAGAGAUAUUUGGUAAUUUGGUUUGCAUUCAUUUGGAUUAAAUGGAGGAGGUGGAAUGUAAAAAUCUUUAAGCAAGUGGAAAAAGAUGAUUUUGCUAUUAUUGAUGAGGUGCAAUUGACUUCUUGGAGGUGGCUUAAAAGUAAAGUUGGUGAAUUCAACUACUCUCGAUCAAUGGAUAUCAAAUCCAAGGGAAUGUCUAAGGUGUUAGUGGCGUUUGCGAGAUUGGGUGGCGAGAAGGUGUUGCAGCUGUUUUGCUGAAUCUGGGAGCUGUGCAGGCUCAAAUUUAGCAUAAUUUUGAUUUUGCAGGUUUGUAGAAAGUGUUGACUGUUGAGGCAGAUGGUCCAUCAGUUUUCUGUUUUAUGUUCCGGUUGGAUAUUCGAGUAAGCAGCGGAGAAUCUAGAGUUUCACUACAGUGAUGUGAUGGUUUUUGAGUUCGCAGGUCUGGUUGCUGUUUUAGUUUGAGUAGUGUAUCUCUAAGGAUUUGGUUGCAGGGUGUGGUGUAGGUUGCUGUUAAGGAGAGGGUCUGGUUUUUUGCCUCUAUUUUAUUCUAGUGUUGCAUUCUUAUAGUUUUGGUCAGUUAUUUUGGGUCUGUCUGUUAGUGGUAGGCUGAGUGCUUUAUCUAGUAUUGCGGCUUGUUUUUCUAGUAUGUUUAUUGCUAAGUUUUGUAUUUGGAAUGUCUUGUUCCUUUUUAAUUAACAAUAAAAUGGUGUUUUGGUUUAAAAAAACGAUAUAUGGUAUCCAGGGACGGAACUAUUUGACUCCAAAGGGGUGGACCUAUGCCCCACGACAAUUGCCAUAAUUUUAAAACCUAAAUAUUGUGGUUUUAUAUUAAGUAGAAAACAUUAGUUUGCAAAUGUUUACCGAGUUUGAAUCUAUGUUCAAACAGUUCUUUUGGAUGGGAGAGAGGAUAGGCAAUCCUAUAGACCAAGGGAGGCUUGAGAAUAAAAAAUUUGAGGGUUUUUAAGGAAGUCCUCUUGGUUAAAUGGGAGUAGAAGAUCAAAUUUGAGAUGAGACAAGGGAAACAAUUCAUGGUGGUGGAAAGAGUAAUCCAUAACUUUUAGGCAUUGGUGGCAUGUAUCUGCAGAACAAUAUUCUAUUAAAACAGAGUUAUCCGACAAAGUUGUUAGAAAAUAGGCCUCAUUCUAAUGGUCAUUGAACAAAGUUUGAAAGUAUUUGGUUCCCAACAAAAUAUCAUUGUAGGAGUUUAAAAAAAAUAACAAUAACGUCAUGAUUCAGUAAUAAAGAAAUAAAAAUACAUACAUAUAUUGGAUUGAUAUAUGAAAAAACCAUAAAUUGAAGUCAAAAUUGAAUAAUCAGAAAAACUAAGUACCACAACAAUAGUUCAUGGUAUCCCAUAAAUGUGUGUACCGGUAUUAGUAUUGGUGGGAUAUUGGUCUCGAUUUGAAACUAUGCGUUGGCGGAUAAAUGUGUGUACCUGGUAUUGGUAUUGGUGGGCUAUCGGUCUUGAUUCGAAACUAUGCAUUGGCGGAUAUAUGUGUGUACCUGGUAUUGGUAUUGGUAGGCUAUCGGUCUUGAUUUGAAAUUAUGCGUUGGCGGAUAAAUGUGUGUACCUGAUAUUGGUAUUGGUGGGCUAUCGGUCUUGAUUCGAAACUAUGCGUUGGAGGAUAAAUGUGUGUACCUGGUAUUGGUAUUGGUGGACUAUCGGUCUUGAUUCGAAACUAUGCGUUGGCGGAUAAAUGUGUGUAUCUGGCAUUGGUAUUGGUGGGCUAUCAGUCUUGAUUCGAAACUAUGUGUUGGCGGGUGUGGUAUAUUGGAAAUCAAAUCUCACCAUUUUUAUGGUGUCCUAUUUUUUCAUGCAUAUGGUAUAUUGUUAGUAAUUGGCUCGGAUUUUCCACGAUAUUUCAAAGAGAAUAGUUGAUAUACUGGAAAUCAUAUCUCGCUAUUUUUAUGGUGUCCUAUUUUUUCAUGCAUAUGGUAUAUUUUUAGUAAUUGGCUCAGAAUUUCCACGAUAUUUCAAAGAGAGUAGUUGGUAUACUGGAAAUCGUAUCUCACCAUUUUUAUGUCGUCCUAUGUUUUCAUGCAUAUGGUGUAUUGUUAGAAAUUGGCUCGGAAUUUUCACGAUGAAAAAGUAUUCAAACAACAAGGAUGUCUUAGAGGAGCAAAUGCGAAUUGGAUAAAUUUCACAUCUAAUUGGUUAGUAGGAUGUGUGGCUCAAUGUUACAUGUGCCCGAAAAUUAUGCUUUGGGGGUAAAGACUGAAGUGGACUCCAAGGAGGUGUAGGUUUGGUGUUCCUGGCAGUAUGUUUGGAGCUAUCUUUGCAGGGUGGAUCAACUGCUGACUGACUGUUUCAUAAUAAUGUUUUCACAUUUCAUUUUGUUCCAAAAUUUGUAUUGUCAUCAGUUAUAUGAUGGAACCAGUUUGUUUGGUGUGGAUAUUGGUAGAGUCAUUAGAUAAGCCUAGACAUUUGAUCUUUUGCAGUUGAUGGGAUCUGUGGAUACUUUAAUUUGGUCGGAUAGUGGAUGAACUAUGCUGUGUGGAUCAGGCUGUUUUGAUUGUGGUUGUAACUGGAUCAGAAAAUCGGCAGUUGACUCUCGUUGUAUUAGAGCAUCCAGACAACAUUGUGCAACGAUUUUAGUCCUCUGUGGUACUGGUGGUAUAAGCUGACUGGAACAAUUUUGCUUUGAAGCAAAACUGUCCUGUGCAGGCUCGCAUCGUGGUUUUUAUGCAGGCUGUGUACUUGUCAAUAGCUUGGCACAUUUGGAGCGGUUCACCGCUAGAAUCGAUAACAGCAGAGUAUUUUUUAGGAUAAUCAGCAUAAUUUGGUUCACUUCCAAGGGAUCCUAAAGCAUUAAAGUGAUCUCUUGUACAGAAAGAUUUUGCAUGACAGUUUUGGAACUGCUAUUAUGGUCGGGCAAUAUGGAUUUAGUUGAUAAUUUGACUGGAAUGAGCAGAAGUUCAAAAGGCCUUUCAUGCCAAUGUAACAGGAAUUUCUUAUGCAUGGAAGGCGUGCAGUAAUGUUCUUUGUAAUUGUUGGUCUGAUUCUCCAUUGUCUAUGCUUCCUAUAUAUCAAGAACUUAUUAACGACGGUCUCCGAAUAUGGGUAUACAGUGGAGACACUGAUGCUGUACUUCCAAUCACUGCAACUCGAUAUUCUAUUGCUGCUUUGAAGCUGCCAACCAUCAUCAAUUGGUACCCUUGGUAUGAUAAUGGCCAGGUUUGUGGAUGGAGCCAAGUUUAUAAAGGACUCACUUUCGUGACAGUAAGAGGUGCUGGACAUGAGGUUCCUCUUCAUAAGCCUCGCGCGUUUAUUCUCUUUAGAUCAUUCUUGGAGAACAAGCAUAUGCCAUCAUCAAGUUAAACAGAUGCAUUUGUUCUUCACUUCAAGUAUAGAACCGAAAAAAGUACCUUAGGUUCUUCAGAAUAACUUAAAUAUUCAUAUCAUAUAUACGGAACAGCAGGCUGAGACAGAAUAAGGAAUGCUUCCUCAUGAGUUCCAUCUUGAAUCUCUUCCUGGAAAUUAUAGUUGAUAAAUGUACCAAUAGCAAUAGUUUCUCUUCUGUUUUUAUUUGUUAAUGAAACUGUGAUUAUUUUUAUCAAAGUGUUAUUCUUUA